CCUACGGGAGGCAGCAGUGGGGAAUAUUGCACAAUGGGGGAAACCCUGAUGCAGCGACGCCGCGUGAGUGAAGAAGGAAUUCGUUAUGUAAAGCUCUAUCAGCAGGGAAGAAAAUGACGGUACCUGAGUAAGAAGCCCCGGCUAACUACGUGCCAGCAGCCGCGGUAAUACGUAGGGGGCAAGCGUUAUCCGGAUUUACUGGGUGUAAAGGGAGCGUAGACGGCAGUGCAAGUCUGGAGUGAAAGGCGGGGGCACAACCCCCGGACUGCUCUGGAAACGGUACGGCUGGAGUGCAGGAGAGGUAAGUGGAAUUCCUAGGGUAGCGGUGAAAUGCGUAGAUAUUAGGAGGAACACCAGUGGCGAAGGCGGCUUACUGGACUGUAACUGACGUUGAGGCUCGAAAGCGUGGGGAGCAAACAGGAUUAGAUACCCUUGUAGUC
rnacentral:rRNA from 1 species